UACGGGGGGGGCAAGCGUUGUUCGGAAUUACUGGGCGUAAAGGGCUCGUAGGUGGCCAACUAAGUCAGACGUGAAAUCCCUCGGCUUAACCGGGGAACUGCGUCUGAUACUGGAUGGCUUGAGUUCGGGAGAGGGAUGCGGAAUUCCAGGUGUAGCGGUGAAAUGCGUAGAUAUCAGGAGGAACACCGGUGGCGAAGGCGGGUCUCUGGGCAGUAACUGACGCUGAGAAGCGAAAGCGUGGGUAGCGAACAGG
rnacentral:rRNA from 1 species